GGCCGGCUGGCGUAAUGGUAGUGCUUCAGACUUCUAAUCUGAAGGUUGCGGGUUCGAGCCCCGCGUUGGUCA
rnacentral:tRNA from 1 species